UCCGCAGUUCUUAUAUAAAAUGGUGUAGCUUUGCAUGAAACCUACACACAUUUCCGGAUCACCUGUGAAACCUAGUAAAAUGUAAAUUACAUGUAAAUAGCAGUUAUACUGUGCUGUUUUGGGAAUAAUGAUGAGGAAAACAUCUGAACACAUUCAGUACAGAUGCAUUUUUUUAAUGCUUUGCAAUUGCAGAUGCAGAGCUGGGAUGGAGGGCCAAGUGUAUUUGUUUUAAAUAGUAUCUUUUCUUUUAUGAUUUCCUUCCCUUCUCUUCUGGCCUCCCUGGAGUGUCCCUCAUUCUCUCUAUCGAGCAGACAGCUUGCUCUUCGGGAUGACAAGAAGCGUGUAAGGUUUUGGGAUGCUAAAGAAGCAUGUGAAGCACCAUGAGGCUGAGCCUCCAGCUUGGGCUACGGAGCCUGGAGCAGGCGAAGUGGGGCCUGCGAACGUGUGCUGAUCUGCGGGAAUCCAGGGGAGGGGCUGCCUCCUCCAGGGAGGCUGAGGGUCCUCUAGAUCUUGGCAGGUUGGAUGCUUUAGCAAGGCUGGGGACAUUCUGGCUGUGAGGAUGUUACGAGCCAAGUCUGAGGGCAGCUGUGUGUCUUGGGCUCCCUGCUGGGGAUGAUGGGGUGAUGGUGGGAGACAUAGAGAUGGAGACAAGGUCCCCCAAGGGGCACCACACAGGCAGUGAGAAGCAAUCAGGUGUCAGCCUGGAGGUGAUGCCCGGAACCUUCUAGAAGGUGGACUGGGUGGUAGUGUCCACAGGGUCAAGAGACAGGAGAGAGAGAAUAGAGAUGCACAAAAGAGGAACCCAGAUCCCAGGAGCUGGCUGGACACACAGGCCUGAAGGAGGGGAAGGGCAAAGGAACCCUACCAGGCCCCCAGCAUUCUGUCUGUUUGCUUGGUACUGGGGACCAAACCCAGGGGCGCUUUACCACUGAGCUAUAGCCCCAGUCUUUUUUGUGUUUUUGUUUUGAGGCAGGGUCUCACUAAAUGCUAAGCCUGGCCUGGAACUUGAGAGCCUCCUGCCUCUGCCUCUGGAGUCCCUGGGAUUAAAGCUGGGCACCACCACAACUGGCUAACGCCCUGCACUCUUGACCAAGAUUGACGUGGACUGCACAUGGACUCUUACAAGAGUUUGAGGCCCGUAGGCACUAGUGACGGCAUUUUAAAAGCCACCUCCUGGUUUUAAAAUGAACAGAGGCGAUGUUCCAUGCACAGUGACGACUAUUUUGGUAAGCCACAUUAAAGAACAUUUAAAAAAAAUACAAUUUCCAUUUCCAUUUACUAGUAAUGUCUAUUUCUCUAGCAAAUGAGAAACAGUUGAAUACUGUUUUCUUAAACCUCUCUGACGGAGCUGGGAAGAUGUGGAGGAGCAUACACACUUACUGCUCUUUGGCAAAGGAAUCUUCUCUUCUCCCAUGUGGAAAGACAUAAAUUUGGGGACCCCUGCCCCUUCCCUAGGUUUCUGUGGCCCACGGUUAGCAAACUCCUCAAAUGAAUUUCAAAGUCACUUUCCAAUCAGCUGCAAAACUACUUAAGCCACUUAUUUGUUCUGGUCCUGAAGUCAGAGCGACCCUGUAAACUCCCCAAGCGUCCCGACCAUGAGAAGUCUGAGGUAAAAUGACAUGUUUGGAAGUCGCUGCAAACGCUGGCAGCUGGACGCGAUGAUAAAUCUGAGCCAUUUCACAUGGUCACUUGGGUCAGUAAUAAAAAACAUGAACUUAAAAUAUAUUUCCUCUUGCC
rnacentral:lncRNA from 1 species